GAUGAACGCUGGCGGCGUGCCUAACACAUGCAAGUCGAGCGAACCCUUCGGGGUGAGCGGCGGACGGGUGAGUAACGCGUGGGUAACCUGCCCUGUACACACGGAUAACAUACCGAAAGGUAUGCUAAUACGAGAUAAUAUGUUUGAUCGCAUGGUCGAGACAUCAAAGCUCCGGCGGUACAGGAUGGACCCGCGUCUGAUUAGCUAGUUGGUGAGGUAAUGGCUCACCAAGGCGACGAUCAGUAGCCGACCUGAGAGGGUGAUCGGCCACAUUGGAACUGAGACACGGUCCAAACUCCUACGGGAGGCAG
rnacentral:rRNA from 1 species